rnacentral:rRNA from 1 species
UACAGAGGGGGCAAGCGUUGUUCGGAAUUACUGGGCGGAAAGGGCGCGUAGGCGGCCUUCUAAGUCGAACGUGAAAUCCCCGGGCUCAACCUGGGAACUGCAUUGGUGACUGCAAGGCUUGAGUGUGUCAGAGGGAGGUGGAAUUCCGCGUGUAGCAGUGAAAUGCGUAGAUAUGCGGAGGAACACCGAUGGCGAAGGCAGCCUCCUGGGAUAACACUGACGCUCAUGCACGAAAGCGUGGGGAGCAAACAGG